rfam:Zea mays cultivar B73 chromosome 8, whole genome shotgun sequence.
ACAUCUUUCUUGGUCUUUUGGCUAAGAUAAAGUGUAGUCCGUAGUUUAAUAUCUAGUACGUGGACUGUAUGUUCACUUUAGUUUUAAAUCUAUUUUUUGUGGGGAGGGUCUACUUUAAUUUUAGAUUUAUUUUUUGUGGAGAGGAUCCAUCACACUGGCAUGUAAUUAGGCCCUCGUGGGUGGUACAACU